rnacentral:rRNA from 1 species
AAAAAAGUUACUUAAGAGCGUAUGGCGAAUGCCUAGGCUCACAGAGGCGAUGAAGGACGUGAUAAGCUGCGAUAAGUUUCGGGUAGGUGCAAAUAACCGUCUGAUCCGAGAAUUUCCGAAUGGGGCAACCCAACAAGUUGAAGACUUGUUAUCCUUUUAGGAAGCGAACCCAGGGAACUGAAACAUCUAAGUACCUGGAGGAAGAGAAAACAAUAGUGAUUCCCUUAGUAGCGGCGAGCGAAAUGGGAAUAGCCCAAACCAAUUUUGUUACGGCAAAAUUGGGGUUGUAGGACUACAUUGGUUCAUGUAUGCUGAAGUAGAAUAUACUGGAAAGUAUAACCAUAGAGGGUGAUAGUCCCGUAAACGUAAAGUCAUAUUAUGACGAGUAGUAUCCUGAGUAGCGCGGAACAUGUGAAAUUUUGUGUGAAUCUGCCGGAACCAUCCGGUAAGGCUAAAUACUCCUGUGAGACCGAUAGUGAACUAGUACCGUGAGGGAAAGGUGAAAAGUACCCUGAACAAGGGAGUGAAAUAGAAUCUGAAACCGUACGCUUACAAGCGGUCGGAGCCCAUUUUGGGUGACGGCGUGCCUUUUGCAUAAUGAUCCUACGAGUUACUCCUCUCUAGCAAGGUUAAAGACUUAAGGUCUGGAGCCGGAGCGAAAGCAAGUCUGAAUAGGGCGAAUUAGUUAGAGGGGGUAGACGCGAAACCGAGUGAGCUACCCAUGGGCAGGUUGAAGCUUCGUUAACCCGGAGUGGAGGACCGAACCAGUACACGUUGAAAAGUGUUUGGAUGACCUGUGGGUAGGGGUGAAAGGCCUAUCAAACUCGGAGAUAGCUCGUACUCCCCGAAAUGCAUUUAGGUGCAGCGUUGAGUUAGAGUAUCAUAGAGGUAGAGCUACUGAUUGGAUGCGGGGGCUUCACCGCCUACCAAAUCUAGACAAACUCCGAAUGCUAUGAUAUGUUUCUCAGCAGUGAGGGCAUGGGUGCUAAGGUCCAUGUCCGAGAGGGAAACAACCCAGAUCAUCAGCUAAGGUCCCUAAAUUAUAAUUAAGUUGCAGAAAACGAGGUUUAAUUGCUUAGACAGCUAGGAUGUUGGCUUGGAAGCAGCCAUUCAUUUAAAGAGUGCGUAACAGCUCACUAGUCGAGCGAUUGAGCAUGGAUAAUAACCGGGCAUAAAUUAUAUACCGAAGCUAUGAACUUUUAUUUAUAAAAGUGGUAGGGGAGCAUUCUAAAUACACUGAAGGUAAACUGCGAAGUUUACUGGAGUGUUUAGAAAAGAAAAUGUAGGAAUAAGUAACGAUAAAGCGGGUGAGAAACCCGCUCACCAAUAGACUAAGGUUUCCUGAUCAACGCUAAUCGGAUCAGGGUUAGUCGGGGCCUAAGGCGAACCCGAAAGGGGUAGUCGAUGGAUAACGGGUUAAUAUUCCCGUACUACCAUAUAUUGCGAUGUGGUGACGAAGGAGUGAAAGUCUCGCGUACUGACGGAAUAGUACGUUGAAGAGGAGUAGGUAUUAAAAAAAUAGGUAAAUCCGUUUUUUUAGCCGAACCUUGAUAGUACCAUGAGUCUUCGGACAAGUGGAUAGUAGACCUAAACAGACUUCCAAGAAAAACCGCUAAGCUUCAGAUAUAUGGUACCCGUACCGUAAACCGACACAGGUAGUCAAGUAGAGAAUACUAAGGUGCUCGAGUGAUUCGUGGCUAAGGAACUAGGCAAAAUGGUCUCGUAACUUCGGGAGAAGAGACGCCACUUUUUAAGUGGCCGCAGUGAAUUGGUCCAGGCGACUGUUUAGCAAAAACACAGGACUCUGCAAAAUCGAAAGAUGAAGUAUAGGGUCUGACACCUGCCCGGUGCCGGAAGGUUAAGAGGGGAUGUUAUCCUUUAGGAGAAGCAUUGAAUUGAAGCCCCGGUAAACGGCGGCCGUAACUAUAACGGUCCUAAGGUAGCGAAAUUCCUUGUCGGGUAAGUUCCGACCUGCACGAAUGGUGUAACGAUCUGGACACUGUCUCAGCCACGAGCUCGGUGAAAUUGUAGUAUCGGUGAAGAUGCCGAUUAACCGCUACGGGACGGAAAGACCCCGUGAACCUUCACUACAACUUAGUGUUGACUUUGAACAAAUGAUGUGUAGGAUAGGUGGGAGACUUUGAAGCAUUGCCGCUAGGCAGUGUGGAGUUGUCCUUGAAAUACCACCCUUCAUUUGUUUAGAGCCUAACCCCAAAAGGGGACAGCGCUUGGUGGGUAGUUUGACUGGGGUGGUCGCCUCCAAAAGAGUAACGGAGGCUUCUAAAGGUACCCUCAGCACGCUUGGUAACCGUGCGUAGAGUGCAAUGGCAUAAGGGUGCUUGACUGAGAGACUUACAAGUCGACCAGGUAGGAAACUAGAGCAUAGUGAUCCGGUGGUUCCGCAUGGAAGGGCCAUCGCUCAAAGGAUAAAAGGUACUCCGGGGAUAACAGGCUGAUCUCCCCCAAGAGCUCAUAUCGACGGGGGGGUUUGGCACCUCGAUGUCGGCUCGUCACAUCCUGGGGCUGGAGAAGGUCCCAAGGGUUGGGCUGUUCGCCCAUUAAAGUGGCACGCGAGCUGGGUUCAGAACGUCGCGAGACAGUUCGGUCCCUAUCUGUAGUGGUCGUUAGAAAUUUGAGAGGAUCUGCUCCUAGUACGAGAGGACCGGAGUGGACUGACCUCUAGUGUACCUGUUGUGACGCCAGUUGCAUCGCAGGGUAGCUAUGUCGGGAAUGGAUAAGCGCUGAAAGCAUAUAAGUGCGAAGCCAACCUCAAGAUGAGAUUUCUUUUAAGGGUUGUUCAAGACUAGGACGUUGAUAGGUUGCAGGUGUAAAGAUGGUAACAUCAUAGCCGAGCAAUACUAAUUACCCAUAGACUUUUUUCG